UACGAGGGGGGCAAAUGUUGUUCGGAAUCACUGGGCGUAAAGGGAGCGUAGGCGGGUUUUUAAGUCAGGUGUUUAAUCCCGGGGCCCAACCCCGGACCGGCACUUGAAACUGGGAAUCUUGAAUAGGGGAGAGGUCAGUGGAAUUGGAGGUGUAGCGGUGGAAUGCGUAGAGAUCUCCAAGAACACCAGUGGCGAAGGCGGCUCACUGGUCCGGUACUGACGCUGAGGUGCGAAAGCGUGGGGAGCAAACAGG
rnacentral:rRNA from 1 species